CGGCAGACAGAAAAUCAAUUACCAGGCUAAGAUACAGCGAUCCGGCUUUCAAAGCCCAUCACUUCAGAAGUUUGAAUGUGCACAGCUUUAUUCUAGAUAAGGUGUUCUUCCAUAAUAUCAUUGUAGAUUCAUUCAAGAUUUAGCCCGAUGAUUCACAUAUGAAGCAAAAUAUCUUCCCUGUUUUUAAUGUAGCUUUCAGCCUAGUGAUGGUGAAACAGAACAUUCUGCUUUGUAAGCAUGCCAGUCACAGUGAUUAAGUGUCCACAUAAUUACAUUUCACCUUGUUACAUGAUUUAAUUUUGCACAAAACAAUGUCUCAUUAAAAUAAAUUACCUACAUGUAAUUGUAUCAAGGAAAAGAAAACCUAUUGAGCUAGUCUAUUUAUGGAUGCAUUAUAUGUUUCCAACCAUGCAUCUGGGGUGAGAGAUUGAGAGUGGUGCAGGCAUCACAACUGCUCACAUUAAUUAUUCAUUACAAGUACAGGGUUAUCCUUAUGGCCAGGUCACACUACCAAGUGGCACAGCAAAAUCCAGCCACAUUUUUUAUAAAAAUAAUAGCUUGGUGACUUACAGGCUUGUUGGUAGCUGUGGAGCCUACUUCUAACACGCUAGCCAGCUGGGAACAUGCUAGCAGUAGUCACAAUAUCCCCAAGCUCCUUUCUGUUUUUUCUGGAAUUUACCAUUUAAACUCUUCUCAAGCAUUUUGUUCCCUGGAGUACUCUCUGAGCUAAUGAGCUUCAUAAGUGUCUGUUAAUGUCUGAGCUAAGAAGACAAUGAGACAUUAUGGUACAAUUCAGUCAGAAGCUUCCUCAACGCGCCUGCACAAUCCAUGACAAUGUGUCAUGUAAAUUCAAGCUGAGGUAAGUUGCACAGUAAGUUUUUCUCGUGUUUUGGGCUAGCAUUAGCAUAGCAUACAGCUAUGUGUAUGUGAGUGUGAAACUUAAUUGAGGAUAAAAUAAUUUAAUCAUGUGGCUCUUUUAGACUUUCCACGUUAUUGGACCAAAUGGAUCAAAUUCUGAUAAUAAAAGAGUAAUUUUGUGGGGGCUCUGGUGCUCAAAAAAAUAUAUUCACCAUUUUACAGCUGCUUGUUUUCUAGUGACUGUGUGUGGGAAAAAUGCUUUCUGGGCUGGUGUGCAUCACAUGAUGGACCUGGAAGUUGUAAUUACACAGUUUAGCCUAUGUCAUGAUUAUGUCAAAUUGGCUUCACAGCCUGGGGACUUGGUUUACAUUGUCAAGAUGGCCACCAACAUUGAACUUCACGUGAAACACUUUUACUUAUUUACUUAACUCAUGACACUGACAAUUUCAUUAAAAUUUGUUUUCAAUUUCACUGAUUUUGUCUCAAAGUUUUUUUGUUUUAAAUUUUAGUGUGACUGGGCCAUUAUAAUGGAACAUAUAGGUUAAGACUUAACACUUUUCUUGCUAAUAGGCUGAAAGUAAUACCUGUAAGUCUAAAUAAAGAUCGAAAAGACAACCAAAUACCAGCCUAGCGCGGCGCGCUAAGUUUAUGACAGACUGAACAUGGCAGUCAGCAGGAAAUAUUUAUUCAAUCCUCUAUAAAGAUGUUACACGAUGCCAAGCCAGGCUCUCCAGCUGUGGUUGAUGGUGGUGAGUUUCGGCAGGGGGGCAGCUGGAGGGGGGGCUGUCUGCUCAGCCUCAGUUUAGGCCAAACUGGAUGGCGUGACAGGAGAAAUGUCAGCCACUGCAGAACUCUGGUGUGCUUAGUGUCUUGCUGGUUGUGACAGAAAAAUAUGGAUCUCUACUCUCUGCCAUAAGGACAGCAAACAAUGGUCAUAUUUUCACAUCCUCAAUGCUUGGAUUGAAUGGAAAGACUGAUCAAUAUGACUAGCCAUAGUGAAAAGAUUUUUUGUAGAAAUAUCAAUAUAAUAGCUCACUUCAUCCAGCAUCCAUCGAGUACAGCACAGCCCAGUAUAUGAAUGAAGCUGUUUCAAAAGCCUUUCACUGCUACAGUAUUUGCCAUUACUGCAUGAAGCAUCCAUUACGUAGCGAACAUCCACAUCUUCAGUAAGCUUUUCAAAAGAAAUUUGACAUUUACAUUUCACAUGGCAGGUAGCACACAUACACAACUACGUGUAGUGCACCUGUUUGCUCCGUCAGUUUCACUAAUGUGUACGCAUUAACAUGCAUUUGCCAUUUCUGCUGCAAAAAGAGCUGUCAGGCUCUUUCACCCAAGCUUGAGAAGACGUGGGCUUAUCACAAUAGUGCAUGACAGAAUAAAAUGUUAAUGGAGGGCAGGCCACGCACAGGGAGGCUGCUGGAGUUCUGAUCAGCCUCUUGACGCUCACUCAUCAACCAGAGCUGUCACGGUUAAGGCAACAGUGUCAACAUAGAAAUGUGUCUGCUGACCUUAUCGCUUUUCUGAUGGCUUUCUUAAGGAUUAUGAAAAUAAGGAGGUCAAUAAUGAUAGCAUCAACAUUUCUCUGUACUAAUGUGUAAACUCAGUUUGAGCCUUUAAAAUGCCAACGAUUUAUAUUGUUUGUUGUUUAGCAGACAAUUUCUGUAAGUACAUUGUAGAUUGUCACUGCACAAAGUCUCAUUUAAGAAAUAGACAUUUUUGGGAAUAUGCUUAUUUGCUAAGAGUGAGAUGAGAGGAUCAAUACCACUCUCAUCUCUCAGCUAAAUGGGAAUCUAUGGCCAGCAGCCGGUUAGCUUAGCUUUGAUCUCCUUUUGUAAAGAAAAAGGAUAAGAGUUUUUUCCCAAAAAUGUCAAAUGAUUCCUUUAGGCAAAUAAAAUUAAAUAGCAUAUUAUGAAAAGAUGUAAACCAUUUGAUUUAGCAUUUGCAGGCAAAAUAUAAUUUAUUGCAUUUUCAAGCCAUCUCAAAAUGCAGUAGGAUUUGAGUGUAGCCACUGAAGACCAGGGCCAUGGAAAGAGUGAACACAAGCAGAUGCUUCGAGGACUAAUCCCGACAGGAUUCUGCUCCUUGAAUGUGAUACAGUCUGGCGACUGCACUCCCGUAUGGAAAGUAUGGCAUAGUGAUUGAGAGGACACAAAUCAAGAGCAGUUCAAGAAAAGAAAUCAAGGCUGGAAAAGGCUGUGAAUGCAGAAGGAGGGCAGCAAAGGAGGAUCAAGAGAGUGCGUUAUCAGCAGCAGAGGGAAAUGAGCAACAAGAGAGACGAAUGGGGGUGGAUCUACUCAAGUGGUGAAAACCAGCUGGCCGUGGAGGGUUCCAUCCUCCUCUCAGUGUAAACAACUCAGUUACAUCCCAAUCCCCGUAACACAUGCAACAACCGACAAAUCCCACCGGGCAACUCUUGAAAAUGUUGGUUUGUGAGUUAAGUUGUAGCAGACAUGUUUCUGAACCAUGUGGGAGGGGGUUGCUCUGUCAGUCUGUGUGCUGAGUACGGUGGAACACAAGGCUCGCCAAAGCUUGUGGUUACGUGUGUUGCUGGAUUAAACCGUGAUAGACAGUAGCCUAAGAUCUACAUCACUGCUGCAAUAUUUUUUUGUGGAUGAGAAUCUAAGCCUGUUAUCAUGUAGAAUUAGCAGGGAUAUACAGUAAAUCCCCUUCACAGAAGGCAUUAGAUAUGGACAGACAAAUGGAAAACCCAUUUGGGGAGGGCACACAGAGGAUUGAAAAUCCAUGAGGAAUGUUGCACCAAUAUGUUUUUAAACCUGAGCUUCUAAUCCUCAGCAGCUUUCCCCUUUCAGAUUUCAUCUCAUUCCUUUCCCGGUGUUUAACAGUGGCAAUGAUAGAUUUAAAUUAUUACACUGGAAAAACACACCUUUUCCAUCUACGAUCACUGUAUUUUUGCUUUUCACAGAGAUGACUUUAAGAUUAGACAAAAAGAAAGAAAGAAAAGUGAGAGCAUAGAGAAUAGUGAGACCAUUGCGUAGGAGUUUAUCUUUAUGACAGCUAUAGGUGCUGUUUUAAUAAACAGUGUGCCCCCAUGAUCCUCUUAUGCAUUAUUCAUCAGUAAAUCAACUCUGUAAUACCCCAUGAUGUGCUGUGAGGAUUCUAUGAAUGAAGUGUCACCAUCAAUAUGCUUAAAAACCAACAUUAGAUGGCACUAAAGGGAAUCAUGUUUUUUAUUGUGCAGGUGGCUGCUCAGAUUCACUUAGCUUCAUAAAUUGAUCUGAUGCAGCUUUUUUGACAGGUUUUCAAAUUAAUUUGUAAGAGAGAAAGCAGAGAUCGAUAUGAGGGGGAUCUUGAGGAGUGUGCAGCCAAUCAGAGAGAGCCCUUGAGGUAUGCAGAGGGAUUUAUUAUAUUAUAAUGGCAACUGGAAAUUAUUUUGCGCAGUACCAUCAGGGAUUGUUUCAUGCAAGCAUACAAACACACACGUACAUAUACACAAUCUCAUAUCAGCCCCUCCGUGAGAGUUUGAGAUUAACUCCAUCCACAGUAGUUUCAGACCCUGGCUUUCUGGAGCAGCAUCCAUUUCACCACAACACAGAUGGGCUUCGGGCCCCGAUACAGACUGCUCUCUUUUACAAUUUACCUGAUUUACAGCCCCUUAUACCAGCUGCGAUUCAGACUGAAUAAACAAGGAGCAGAUGGCCACUUGAAGGCACAAGUGUCAAUCAACUGGGGUGGAGGCAAGAAGAGAUAAUGGAGAGCCUCAAGACGCCUGCAUGAGAACAUGCAGAUGUAUGCAGACAUACAGGAAAACACUCUCAAACACACAUAAGGGACAGACUAUAUGAGGUCUAUAUUAGCCUUUUGACUAAAACUGAAUAUUAGCCAAACCAUCCACUUUGAUGUGGAGGAGGUUUCUUCCUCUCUGUUGCCACCCAUCUCUGGAUGUCAUUCUGUUGUUAUUUAAGCAAAAGGUGCGGAGUUGGAACAAAAGCCCCAGGAGCCAUGGAUAUGUGCCCAUUAUCCUGAAAUAUCAACUUAAAGGUACCUUGUGGGGUUUCUUGUAAAAAACCCAAAGCACACUGUGUAUAUCAGUCAGGUCAAACAAACAUGUCUGAGUGAAGGUGAACAUACAGAAGCUGUGUAAGUCAUCGGGUGGUGGUCGGGAUGGAUGGUGGACGUACAAAGGCUGCUUUGACAUCAAAAACUUGGGUUGCAUCCUGAGUCUAUUAUUGCGGAAAACAAAUGCAAUAUGUUGUCAGUGAACAUUUUGCCAGAUACUUAAAUCAACAACAUUUCUUCGUUAUGUUGUGUUGCAAAUUAGUAUAUAAACAAUUUCUAGGAGACAAGUUUGCACCCACGGUAACUUGUGCCCUUUAAUGCAGACCCUCUCUCCGUCAUAGUUGUGUUAGGUGGAAAUUAAACAACAGGUGUCUGCAUGUCUUUCAAGAGUGGUAACCAGCAGCCAAGUGAACAUGAUGAGCCAAUCAGCUCUCAUCCUGAGAAUGGCCCUGCUGCUGCUGCUGCUGGUGAACAGCAAAAGUUGCAAAAAUACACAACUGUUUCAGAGACAGACUGCGACAGGGAAUAUGACCUUGAGACUGAAUCCGUCAGCCCUGGACCCCGACGAGUGGGCCAGGCAGCUGAGCAACUGCAAGAUACAGGUAGAGGUGCUGCAAGCUCACCUCCAAAGUUCAGAGCAACAAAAUACCUGUCAGGAGGAAAAGGUUAAUGAGCUCUCCACCAGGCUGGAGUCACAGACACAAGAAAUCAGGUCUCAGGUGGAGUAUUUAACCACCAAGAUACAGGAGGAGGCCUGGAAGAUUGAAGCUCAAUGAUCAGCUGCAGCAAGAGAGAGGCACCCUUCAGGAGCAACUUGAGACAGAGAUGAAAGGGUGAGUGAGAACCAGAGCUGAUCGAUAAACUGGCUCAGUUGUUCGCCCUGCGGCCUCACAGACAGACCUGAGCUGACCGGCUGGGUUCCUUCUGUGCGGAGUCUGCAACUUCCUCCCUGUGACUGCAAAACCAUAACCAACACAAGCCUCAUCAUCUCCUAUUGCUCCGCAUGUGUACAUGGUGGCAAUAAAUGGCUUAAACAGAAACAUCAGUUGUCCCCUCUACAUCCUCAUUGAUGUACCAUGGUGAUGCUCAAACUCCUGUGAACCAAUCCUGGAGAUGGACUCUAUAAGUAUAUUCUGAGGAAAUAGCAGGAUGUUCAGAAUGCUAAUGUUACAAAUGUAACUAGGAUGAUUGUGUCUGUCCUGUGCUGCAAUCGAAUAACAGGAGUUACAUGCACUUUAUUUUUUUGAUGCUAACAUUACUUGUGUGAAGGAGCAGCUUCUGUGCUCAUUCAGUUUAUUUCUCACUACAUGUAGAGCUACAACUUUGUGUAGUUUGUGUUACUGUAGCAUUAUCACUGCUACUUGUUGCUGUUUCUCGCUUGAGUAUGUGUCACAGCUAGUACAAACUGACAGAUGCAUGUCAAAAGUGGUGUGUGAUUUAAAAAAAAAAAAAAGUUUUAGAAAUGUAAAGAUGAGUGUUGCAUUAACAGUAAUUUUAAUGUGUUCCAGCUGAAAAUGUUCAUGUAAGCUAUUGUGGCUACGCAUUUGCAUAUCCUUGAUAGUUUGUAUGGUUUGUAUUUAUUGUUUCAUUGUUUUGGUUUUAUGGCCCACAACUUUACUGUUUUAAUUCAGUCUCACAUACUCUCACUAGUGUUAUUCUUAGCAGCAGCUGUUUUCAGUGAAAAAGCAAUGAUAAACCUACCAUAUGCUACUUGCCCAGCACCAGCAAACAGACAAAGUUAGCAACACUGUGGAGCAUUGAGCUUCCAUAAAGCCAAAUGUUUCCUUCUAGUCAGUGGAGACCAAACAAGAGCUAAAAGCAGAGUGAAUACUGGAUUUACAUUUGGCAAGUGGACACAAACAUGACUCAAAAUUAAUGUAAAUUAAAAGUUGUUUCAUAUCUGCUUCAGGUUUAGCCACUGUUUGCUAACACAUUUGGUUAUUGUGCUAACCAUAUCAACAUGAGUGUUGUGUUGAUCCUAAGGGGCUAAAAAAUUGAUGAAGGUAGGUUUAGGUUCAGAAAAGAGUACUGUGGAUGGAAGGACUGUGCAUCAGAGGGGUGUAAAUAUCCUGCACUACUGUGAAUGCUGGUGGCAUCAACUGUUGUAGGACCCUUAUUUUUUAUACAUAAAUUGUGUUCCCCUCUCAAGAGCUAGUCUAUAACCAUUGUAGACUACACACAAAAAAGACAAGAGGGACUUGUCACGUUUGGGGAUCUGGUUCUUAUCUAUUUUUGUACAUGAUCUGCCAAGUAGAAAAUGAAAGAGAUGAGAUCUCUACCAUAAUGGUUAUAUCACAAAUCUCAUUAAUGUGUCUUUUGAGACUUUAUUA